UACGGAGGGUGCGAGCGUUAAUCGGAAUAACUGGGCGCAAAGGGCACGCAGGCGGGAUAUUAAGUGAGAUGUGAAAUCCCCGGGCUUAACCUGGGAAUAGCAUUUCAGACUGGGAGUCUAGAGUACUUUAGGGAGGGGUAGAAUUCCACGUGUAGCGGUGAAAUGCGUAGAGAUGUGGAGGAAUACCGAAGGCGAAGGCAGCCCCGUGGGAAUGUACUGACGCUCAUGUGCGUAAGCGUGGGGAGCAAACAGG
rnacentral:rRNA from 1 species